AUGAAAUUUGGCUAUAGAUGGAGCAUAGGGGAUGGGAGCAGAACCAGGUUUUGGGAAGAUACUUGGUUUGGCACAUCCCCCCUAGCAGUCCAAUUUUGGCCUGUCUACUCUAUUUGGAAUGAACAAAACAAAAGUGUGAAUGAAAUUUGAGAUGGGCAAUGCCUAAAACUCUCUUUCAGGAGGAACUUUAAUGACAGUCUCAUGGAACAAUGGUUUCAGCUGGAGGGAAUUGCCAAGAGCAUUGUCUUUACUGCCGAUCCAGAUGCCCUGAUCUGGCAACUAGACAAAAAGGGGCAGUACUCUUCCAGCUCCCUCUAUCAUAUUAUCAAUUUUAGAGGGGUUCAGCCUAUGUUUAUCCCUGCAGUCUGGAAAUUAAGAGUUCCUCCUAAAAUUCAUGUUUUUCUCUAG
rnacentral:rRNA from 1 species